CGAAACCUGAGAUGUUCGACAAUUCCUAUCAUUUUGAACCUACAUUUAUUUUUGACGGGAUUCCGGAUAUAGAUGUGGAUGUCAGGCCUCCGUUCGCAGUGGAAGGCAGAAGCAUUUAUUAGGUUGCCCACCUGGCUAUGGCUAGGAGUCAAAAGAUAGGAACCGGCAUUUCGGGGGUACU
rnacentral:other from 1 species